CUGACUCCUAGGUGAAUCAAGCAUUCAGGUAGUGCUGUGACAGACUUUGGACCUUGGUGAGUCACCAGAAGUAAUGAACCUUCAGAUCCUGCAAUGUAAGGCUAGGCUGGGAACCAACUUGAAAAUGAAAGAAACAACUUGAGAAAAACAACUUUCUUGGUGAUGGCAACUCUUCUCUGUGAGAUGGGGCAUAUGAAUCUGUAAGGUUCCAAGAGCAGAAAAAAAUAACUGAUAACAAUCAGGAUGCUAGCUAACAAUGGUUCCAAAUUUCUUUCCAAACUAUGGCCCAGUGUAACUUUGUUUUCCUCUGAUGGGAGUCAAGGAAAUGAUGAGUUUGUGAUCUCAAGAGAAAGAAGACACAGUGCCUCUGAUUUAGCAAUUCCUAUCUCUGCUCUGGUGCAAAGGCUACCCAGAAGAAUAGUAGACUGA
rnacentral:lncRNA from 1 species